GGGCUCGUAGUCGAGUGGUAAGACGUCUCUUUCACAGAGAGAAGACCCGGAGUCCGAUUCUCCGCGGGCCCA
rnacentral:tRNA from 1 species